rnacentral:rRNA from 1 species
GGUUCGAUUCUGGGCUCAGAGUGAACGCUGGCGGUAGGCCUAACACAUGCAAGUCGAACGGCAGCAUAGGAGAGCUUGCUCUCUGGGCGGCGAGUGGCGGACGGAUGAGGAAUACAUCGGAAUCUACUCUGUCGUGGGGGAUAACGUAGGGAAACUUACGCUAAUACCGCAUACGAAUCUUUACGUGGUGAAAGUAGGGGACCUUCGGGCCUUGCGCGAUUGAAUGAGCCGAUGUCGGAUUAGCUAGUUGGCGGGUAACGGCUCACCAAGGCGACGAUCCGUAGCUGGUUUGAGAGGACGACCAGCCACACUGGGACUGAGACACGGCCCAGACUCCUACGGAGGCAGCAGUGGGGAAUUUUGGACAAUGGGGGAAACCCCUGAUCCAGCCAUCCCGCGUGUGCGAUGAAGGCCUUCACAAAGCACUUUUUGGCAGGAAAAGAAACGGCACGGGAUAAUGUGCAACUGACGGUACCUUGCAGAAUAAGCACCGGCUAACUACGCCAGCAGCCGCGGUAAUACGUAGGUGCAAGCGUUAAUCGGAAUUACUGGGCGUAAAGCGUGCGCAGGCGGUUCGGAAGAAAGAUGUGAAAUCCCAGAGCUUAACUUUGGAACUGCAUUUUUAACUACCGAGCUAGAGUGUGUCAGAGGGAGGUGAAAUUCCGCGUGUAGCAGUGAAAUGCGUAGAUAUGCGGAGGAACACCGAUGGCGAAGGCAGCCUCCUGGGAUAACACUGACGCUCAUGCACGAAAGCGUGGGGAGUAAACAGGAUUAGAUACCCUGGUAGUCCACGCCCUAAACGAUGUCAACUAGCUGUUGGGGCCUUCGGGCCUUGGUAGCGCAGCUAACGCGUGAAGUUGACCGCCUGGGGAGUACGGUCGCAAGAUUAAAACUCAAAGGAAUUGACGGGGACUCGCACAAGCGGUGGAUGAUGUGGAUUAAUUGAUGCAACGCGAAAAAACCUUACCUGUUGACAUGUCUGGAAUCCCGAAGAGAUUUGGGGAGUGCCGCAAGAGAACCGGAACACAGGUGCUGCAUGGCUGUCGUCAGCUCGUGUCGUGAGAUGUUGGGUUAAGUCCCGCAACGAGCGCAACCUUGUCAUUAGUUGCUACGAAAGGGCACUCUAAUGAGACUGCCGGUGACAAACCGGAGGAAGGUGGGGAUGACGUCAAGUCUCAUGGCCCUUAUGGGUAGGGCUUCACACGUCAUACAAUGGUCGGGACAGAGGGUCGCCAACCCGCGAGGGGGAGCCAAUCCCAGAAACCCGAUCGUAGUCCGGAUCGCAGUUCGCAACUCGACUGCGUGAAGUCGGACCGCUAGUAAUCGCGGAUCAGCAUGUCGCGGUGAAUACGUUCCCGGGUCUUGUACACCGCCCGUCACACCAUGGGGAGUGGGUUUUACCAGAAGUAGUUAGCCUAACCGUAAGGAGUGGCGAUUACCACGGUAGGAUUCAUGACUGGGGUGAAGUCGUAACAAGGU